GGUCCAGACUUUGAUUAUGGCUCAGGAUGAACGCUAGCUACAGGCUUAACACAUGCAAGUCGAGGGGAAACGACAUUGAAAGCUUGCUUUUGAUGGGCGUCGACCGGCGCACGGGUGAGUAACGCGUAUCCAGCCUGCCCACCACUUGGGGAUAACCUUGCGAAAGUAAGACUAAUACCCAAUGACGUCUCUAGAAGGCAUCUGAAAGGGAUUAAAGAUUUAUCGGUGAUGGAUGGGGAUGCGUCUGAUUAGCUUGUUGGCGGGGUAACGGCCCACCAAGGCUACGAUCAGUAGGGGUUCUGAGAGGAAGGUCCCCCACAUUGGAACUGAGACACGGUCCAAACUCCUACGGGAGGCAGCAGUGAGGAAUAUUGGUCAAUGGACGAGAGUCUGAACCAGCCAAGUAGCGUGCAGGAUGACGGCCCUAUGGGUUGUAAACUGCUUUUAUAAGGGAAUAAAGUGAGUCUCGUGAGACUUUUUGCAUGUACCUUAUGAAUAAGGACCGGCUAAUUCCGUGCCAGCAGCCGCGGUAAUACGGAAGGUCCGGGCGUUAUCCGGAUUUAUUGGGUUUAAAGGGAGCGUAGGCCGGAGAUUAAGCGUGUUGUGAAAUGUAGAUGCUCAACAUCUGCACUGCAGCGCGAACUGGUUUCCUUGAGUACGCACAAAGUGGGCGGAAUUCGUGGUGUAGCGGUGAAAUGCUUAGAUAUCACGAAGAACUCCGAUUGCGAAGGCAGCUCACUGGAGCGCAACUGACGCUGAAGCUCGAAAGUGCGGGUAUCGAACAGGAUUAGAUACCCUGGUAGUCCGCACGGUAAACGAUGGAUGCCCGCUGUUGGUCUGAAUAGGUCAGCGGCCAAGCGAAAGCAUUAAGCAUCCCACCUGGGGAGUACGCCGGCAACGGUGCAACUCAAA
rnacentral:rRNA from 1 species